rnacentral:rRNA from 1 species
AAUCAUGCUACUAAAUACCAUCUGGGGGAUGACUUGGCUUGAGUCGCCGAAGAGGGUCGCGGCAAGCAGCGAUAUGCCUGGGCGAGGAGCAUGCAUCCUUAGAACCCAGGAUUACCUAAUGGGACUUCCUAUCUUCGGAUGCUCCGUGAGGAGCGGGAACCCGCCGAACUGAAACAUCUUAGUAGGCGGAGGAAAAGAAAGCAA